rnacentral:rRNA from 1 species
AACGUAGGAGACGAACGUUAUCCGGAGUUACUGGGCGUAAAGGGCGUGCAGGCGGUCUGAUAAGUUCGGCGUGAAAUAUUCCGGCUUAACCGGGAUAGGUCGUCGGAGACUGUCGGACUAGAGGGUGAUAGAGGCGUGUGGAAUUCCGGGUGUAGUGGUGAAAUGCGUAGAUAUCAGGAGGAACACCGGUGGUGUAAACGGCUUCUGGACCAUAACUGACGCUGAGGCACGAAAGCGUGGGUAGCAAACAGG